ensembl:lncRNA
UAAGGUUAUGUACCAUAAGUUUCCUUCUUCCAGAGGUCAAAAUGUGUAAUUUGGGCAGGGUCAGUAACAUAUAGUCUUAUAAAAGAUGGAAGUUGUGAGAGGGAAUCACAUUUUGAAAGUAAAUUAAAACUGGAAAAUGAUCUUAGAAACAAAGUGAUAUGUACUUGUGAAUCAGUACUUUUCAAGGUGUUAGUUGUGCACGUUGUGAUUUCAUUAUUCAACCUGCCGUGAUAUAAACCUCAUCUCAAGCUAGCUGUUGUUUUCCUGCACUUUCCAUAAUCAAAGCCUGCUGAAAUUAAACUGGUGCAGAGUUAAUCAUGCAUGCUGACUGUUUUAGUUAUCGCUUCUUUUCAGAUCUGUACCAGUAGUGUCUAGGGAACGCAAACAGUAGUAGACCAAGAGCACCUGUAAUUAUUAUUGCAAAUUAGUAAAUUGACCUUGUCAGAAAAAAAUGGAGCAAAAGUUUCCCUGUUAAUUAAUUUUCUCAAAUGCUUUUUAAGUUUGUACAUAUAGUGUGGAGAUAGGCAAGGAAAAAGAAAAGGCAAGCACAGAAAAGAUGCACUUAAGGCAAUAAAUGAUGGGUUAUGUACUGUUACCAAUUUGGGAACUGCAUUUUUACUAGUACUAGGUCUGAGGACCACCACGAUAAUUAGGUGCCAGUGUUUUAUGGUAAUUAAAAUAGACUUAUGUCUUCGUGACAGUUUGCAAAUGAGGGUUUUUUGGUGGCAAAGACCUUGAGGUGUAUUGUUGUUUGAACUGGUUGAUCUUGGGGUAGAGCAGUUUCCUUUAUUUGCCUCUGGCUUGCAGAAUGCAACCCAGGUUUGCAAUUAGCAUCUGCAGGUAACACCUGUCCCGUGGGAAACAAACUUCCACUGCUGUGGGCCUCAACCAGCACAGCUAAAUGUAAGGGGACAAAAGCUUCGCAGCAAAAAGUGUCACCAGAUUGCGCUUCUGACCUGCUGUUCAGCUUCUGUUCUGCUUACAGAGCUACAUAUGGAGGGACUGCUGUUGUGCAGGACAGCUUGCAAGGUGUAAUCGCAAUGACCUCUAUGUUCUGGGGCAUCAGGGCAAUGGAAUUCUGGCUGGGCGAUGGAAAGGGCAAGAGUUGGUGCAUCUGGAAGGGAGAAAGAAGAAAAAGAGUGCUUCUUUCAUUCUUUAAAUCAAAGCCUGUGGUAACCAUGUGAUUUCAUCAGGAAAUUACUCUGCUACAGUCAGGAGGAAAUCUAGGGACAUUCCUUCCCAGAAGGUCCUGUGCUUGUGAAGGAUGAAGCAGUUGCUUCAUUUCACAAAGGUUCUUGCAUUUAACUUUCUGCUCUGCCUCCCUUUCCUCAUAGUAGUGAAUGCUGAAUUUCUGUCCCUGCCUUUCUGCCCUGCAGUUGUGCUGCCUCCUUGGCAUGACUAGGAAAGGGUAAGAUCACCGCAGCCCUGCCUGUAAGUUCUGUGGCAGAACCGAGACAAGGAGCUGCCGAGGUGGAUGUUGAAGCUGGUUUAUGCUUGCAGCAGAGUCCACUUCUUGGCAGAGAUUUCUAGUGCUUUGUCAAACUGUCUGGCUGCAUCAGUUAAUUACUUGUUCCAAAGUCAUAUCAGAGUGCUUAAAGAUCUCAAUGAGUUUGUUAAUUUGAUUCUUUGACUAGUUUAGGGGAACUUGGUUGUGCUGGGGUAGCACGAGAACAGUCUUGUAACGUACCUGCAGCACGCCUGCCUGCCAAAGAGGAGGAUAAUCAAUCAGUCCGUUGCCGCCACUAUUGAUGUAGUGUGAGAUGGUCUCUGACUUGAAAGAUGAAGAGGAAAUUAAGCGUAACACAGUGAUAAUGGAAUGAUCAAUGCUGCUUGCUGCAGACUUUGCCUCUGCACUGAAAAAGCAAGAUGUUUUGUGAAUGCUAGCUAGAGAUGUGUAAAUGAGACGGUAAGUCUUGCCCGUAAUACAAAGCUAACCAGAAGUGACUAAUAUAGCACUGUCAGCGUUGGUGCUUUACCAGCAAACCAAGAGACACAAGAAGAAUGAGAGGAUGUCCCAAACCUUCUGCUUCAAGAAGGCACAGAGAGUUGUGGUUGUUGUCAUGAAAUUCCUUUUUCUCGGUCUUUGAAUCAUGGUUCUGUUUUCUCUUAUCAUCACUGAGUGUAAAGAAGGAAUUAGUGGAGAAAUCAUUUUCUUCUAGCAGUUGUGUAGCCUGGGUUGUUAUC